GGGACGGUAGUGCAGUGGUCUAGCAUAGGUGCUUUGGAAGCAUCAGACUCAAGUUCGAAUCUUGGCUGUCCCA
rnacentral:tRNA from 1 species